rnacentral:rRNA from 1 species
AUUGAACGCUGGCGGCAGGCUUAACACAUGCAAGUCGAGCGGGGUGAUGGUGCUUGCACUAUCACUUAGCGGCGGACGGGUGAGUAAUGCUUAGGAAUCUGCCUAUUAGUGGGGGACAACAUCUCGAAAGGGAUGCUAAUACCGCAUACGUCCUACGGGAGAAAGCAGGGGAUCACUUGUGACCUUGCGCUAAUAGAUGAGCCUAGGUCGGAUUAGCUAGUUGGUGGGGUAAAGGCCUACCAAGGCGACGAUCUGUAGCGGGUCUGAGAGGAUGAUCCGCCACACUGGGACUGAAACACGGCCCAGACUCCUACGGGAGGCAGCAGUGGGGAAUAUUGGACAAUGGGGGGAACCCUGAUCCAGCCAUGCCGCGUGUGUGAAGAAGGCCUUAUGGUUGUAAAGCACUUUAAGCGAGGAGGAGGCUCUUUUGGUUAAUACCCAAGAUGAGUGGACGUUACUCGCAGAAUAAGCACCGGCUAACUCUGUGCCAGCAGCCGCCGUAA